rnacentral:rRNA from 1 species
UACGUAGGGGGCAAGCGUUGUCCGGAUUUAUUGGGCGUAAAGAGCGUGUAGGCGGCCAGGUAGGUCCGUUGUGAAAACUCGAGGCUCAACCUCGAGACGUCGGCGGAAACCCUCUGGCUAGAGUCCGGAAGAGGAGAGUGGAAUUCCUGGUGUAGCGGUGAAAUGCGCAGAUAUCAGGAAGAACACCCGUGGCGAAGGCGGCUCUCUGGGACGGUACUGACGCUGAGACGCGAAAGCGUGGGGAGCAAAC